rnacentral:rRNA from 1 species
CCUACGGGUGGCUGCAGUGAGGAAUAUUGGUCAAUGGGCGGACGCCUGAACCAGCCAAGUAGCGUGCAGGAUGACGGCCCUACGGGUUGUAAACUGCUUUUAUACGGGAAUAACGCGCCUUACGUGUAGGGCUUUGCAUGUACCGUAUGAAUCAGGACCGGCUAAUUCCGUGCCAGCAGCCGCGUUAAUACGGAGGGUCCGGGCGUUAUCCGGCUUUAUUGGGUUUACAGGGAGCGUAGGCCGCAUGUCAAGCGUGCUGUGAAAGGUCCGGGCUCAACCCGGGCCUUGCAGAGCGAACUGGCGUGCGUGAGUCCGCGGAAAGUAGGCGGAAUUCGUAGUGUAGCGGUGAAAUGCUUAGAUAUGACGAAGAACCCCGAUUGCGAAGGCAGCUUGCUGCAGCGGAACUGACGCUGAUGCUCGAAAGCGUGGGUAUCGAACAGGAUUAGAUACCCCUGUAGUC